CUGCUGCCUUCCGUAGGAGUUUGGACCGUGUCUCAGUUCCAAUGUGGGGGACCGUUCCUCUCAGAACCCCUAUCCAUCGUCGUCUUGGUGGGCCGUUACCCCGCCAACUAACUAAUGGAACGCAUCCCCAUCGAUAACCGAAAUUCUUUAAUAUCAAGAUCAUGCGACCUUGAUAUCCUAUCGGAUAUUAAUCUUUCUUUCGAAAGGCUAUCCCCGAGUUAUCGGCAGGUUGGAUACGUGUUACUCACCCGUGCGCCGGUCGUCAUACGG
rnacentral:rRNA from 1 species